AAUUCGCCCUUGGGCGGUGUGUACAAGGCAUGCAAGUCGAACGGGUUAAACUUUUGUAGCAAUACUUGAGUUUGACUAGUGGCAAACGGGCGAGUAUCACAUUGGUAACCUGCCUUCAAGACGGGCACAACAUUGCGAAAGCGAUGCUAAUUCCCGAUGGUCUCUUUGGUGGAAUUCCAAAUGAGUAAACGUCCAAAAGACGCUUGAAGAGGGGCCUAUGGCCUAUCAGCUAGUUGGUAAGGUAAUGGCUUACCAAGGCUACGACGGGUAGCAGGCGUGAGAGCGCGACCUGCCUCAGUGGGACUGCGAUACUGCCCACACUCCUACGGGAGGCUGCAGUCGAGAAUAUUCCGCAAUGGGGGAAACCCUGAUGGAGCGACACCGCGUGGGGGAUGAAGGCCUUCGGGUCGUAAACCCCUUUUAUAUGGGACGAAGCGCAAGCUGACGGUACCAUACGAAUAAGAGGUUGCUAACUCUGUGCCAGCAGCAGCGGUAAUACAGAGACCUCAAGCGUUAUCCGGAUUCACUGGGCGUAAAGCGUCCGCAGGUGAUUUAUUAAGUCAUUUGUCAAAUCCCGGUGCUCAACGUCGGAACUGCGAAUGAUACUGGUAAACUUGAGGAUGGAAGAGGUAAGAGGAACUGCCGGUGUAGAAGUAAAAUGCGUUAAUACCAGCAGGAACACCAAAGGCGAAGGCAGCUUACUAAAACGCAUCCGACAUUGAGAGACGAAAGCGUGGGUAGCGAAACAGAUUAGAUACCUGUGUAGUCCACGCCCUAAACGAUGAGUGCUAAGCAUUGGAAGUAUCGACCCUUUCAGUGCUGUUCUAAUCAAGCUAACGCCUUAAGCAUUCCGCCUGGGGAGUACGGCCGCAAGGCUAAAACUCAAAGGAAUAGACGGGGACCCGCACAAGCGGUGGAACAUGUGGUUCAAUUCGACAACAAACGAGAAACCUUACCAGGGCUUGACAUGCAGCUGCUAGCGCACGGAAACGUGUGAUCUUCGAGAGUGCUGCACAGGUGCUGCAUGGCUGUCGUCAGCUCGUGCUGUGAAGUGUACCCUUCAGUGGGGUAACGAGCGCAACCUCCAUCAUUUGUUUAAUGACCAAAUGAAACCGCGGUCCUAAAGACCGAGGAAGGCGGAGAUGACGUCAAGUCAGCAUGGCCCUUACGCCCUGGGCCACACACAUGUCACAAUGGCAAUUACAAAGGGAAGCGAAGUCGCGAGAUGGAGCAAAUCCCACCAAAGAUUGCCUCAGUUCGGAUUGAAGGCUGCAACUCGCCUUCAUGAAGCCGGAAUCGCUAGUAACCGUGUAUCAGCUAUGGCACGGUGAAUACGUUCUCGGGCCUUGUACACACCGCCCAAGGGC
rnacentral:rRNA from 1 species